rnacentral:rRNA from 1 species
GUCUUUUUGUAAGUAUAAAAAGUCCGAUCUGCCCGCUGAUAAGUAUAUUGAAGGGCCGCAGUAUUUUAACUGUGCAAAGGUAGCAUAAUCAUUAGUUCUUUAAUUGAGAUCUUGAAUGAAUGAUUAGACAAAAAAAUUACUGUCUUUAUAAUAAUAAUUGAAUUUAACUUUUAAGUGAAAAGGCUUAAAUGAUUUAGAGUGACGAUAAGACCCUAUAAAGCUUAAUAUUAUUAUAAAGUUUUUUGUGAUUUAAAUAUAAAAUUUUAGAGUUUGUUAAUAUUUUAUUGGGGCGAUAGAAGUAAAAGGUUUAAUAACUGCUUUUAAUUUUAAAUCAAAUAUGAAUGAUUAGUGUGUAAAUGAUCUUGUUUUAUAGAGUAAAAGAUUAAGUUACUUUAGGGAUAACAGCGUUAUUUUUCUUGAGAGUUCUUAUCGAAAGAAAAGAUUGCGACCUCGAUGUUGAAUUAAAAUAUCUAUGUAAUUGUAGAAGUUAUAUAAGAAGGUCUGUUCGACCUUUAAAUUUUUACGUGAUUUGAGUUCAGACCGGUUUAAACCAGGUCGGUUUCUAUCUUUUAAUUAGAUUGUAAUUAUUUUA